CAUCUGUCCAUAUAGGAUUGGAUAAUAUUGAUUAUAUAGGGAGGCCCAACAGUGGAUAAUAUUGAUUAUAUAGGGAGGCCCAACUGUGGAUAAUAUUGAUUAUAUAGAUAAUAUUGAUUAUAUAGGGAGGCCCAACAGUGGAUAAUAUUGAUUAUAUAGGGAGGCCCAACAGCGGAUAAUAUUGAUUAUAUAGGGAGGCCCAACUGUGGAUAAUAUUGAUUAUAUAGAUAAUAUUGAUUAUAUAGGGAGGCCCAACAGUGGAUAAUAUUGAUUAUAUAGGGAGGCCCAACAGCGGAUAAUAUUGAUUAUAUAGGGAGGCCCAACAGCGGAUAAUAUUGAUUAUAUAGGGAGGCCCAACAGCGGAUAAUAUUGAUUAUAUAGGGAGGCCCAACAGUGGAUAAUAUUGAUUAUAUAGGGAGGCCCAACAGCGGAUAAUAUUGAUUAUAUAGGGAGGCCCAACAGCGGAUAAUAUUGAUUAUAUAGGGAGGCCCAACAGUGGAUAAUAUUGAUUAUAAAGGGAGGCCCAACAGCGGAUAAUAUUGAUUACAUAGGGAGGCCCAACAGUGGAUAAUAUUGAUUAUAUAGGGAGGCCCAACAGUGGAUAAUAUUGAUUAUAUAGGGAGGCCCAACAGUGGAUAAUAUUGAUUAUAUAGGGAGGCCCAACAGUGGAUAAUAUUGAUUAUAUAAGGAGGCCCAACAGCGGAUAAUAUUGAUUAUAUAGGGAGGCCCAACAGCGGAUAAUAUUGAUUAUAUAAGGAGGCCCAACAGCGGAUAAUAUUGAUUAUAUAGGGAGGCCCAACAGCGGAUAAUAUUGAUUAUAUAAGGAGGCCCAACAGCGGAUAAUAUUGAUUAUAUAGGGAGGCCCAACAGCGGAUAAUAUUGAUUAUAUAGAUAAUAUUGAUUAUAUAGGGAGGCCCAACAGCGGAUAAUAUUGAUUAUAUAGGGCAGAAAUGGAACAUCACUCUGUACUGUAACUAACUCAAGUCAGAAAGCCCUCCGCGAUAGAGCAGUACAUCAUCCGAACCCUCUCCUUGACCUAAACAACCUCCACUUGAAAUAAUAAGUCUCCCUCCCUUGUUUGGGGUAAUUUCCCUCAGUACGGAAAACACUGUCUAUUGUUCUGCUAACAGCCAGGAGGAGGCUGUGUCCCAAAAGAGCGCACUUCUUUCGACCAGGGCCGAUAUAUAUAGGACUCAGAGUCUACAGUAGUCCACUCUGCAGAG
rnacentral:lncRNA from 1 species